GGCUCACUAUGGCUACUGAGAUGGAUAAGGCGUUGGAUUCCGAAUCCAAAGAUUGUGGGUUCGAGUCCACUAGAGCGU